AUCCGCCAAAGGCGGAGACCCGCGCCCCUCUGGAGGCGCGGUCGGUGGGGGACCAAGCGGCGUGAUCAGCGUCGCUUGGUCUGA
rnacentral:sRNA from 1 species